AUGAACCCCUCCUUGUCCCCAGGUCCGAAUGGCCUGCCUGUUGCGUUCUUUAAAACAUUCUGGCAGACUGUUAAACCGGAGGUCAUGGCCUUAUUCGAGGAGUUCUAUUCGGGCUCUAUGGACCUAGAACGCCUCAACUAUGGGAUCAUUACCCUCAUCCCUAAGGUUUCGGGCACCUCUGAUAUUCGCCAGUUCCGCCCUAUCACUGUGAUUAAUGUGAUAUUCAGGAUCCUGGCCAAAGGGUACGCCAAUAGGGUGACCCUGCUCGCUGACUCGGUCACUCACCCUAACCAAUCGGCCUUCAUCCAAGGCCGGUUUAUUCUCGAUGGCGUGUUGGUCUUCCAUGAAUUCCUUCACGAACUACGGACGAAACAUCAUCGUGCUGUCUUCCUGAAGCUUAACUUCCAUAAAGCCUAUGAUACUGUUCACUGGCCUUUC
rnacentral:rRNA from 1 species